AGUGAACGCUGGCGGUAGGCCUAACACAUGCAAGUCGAACGGCAGCACAGUAAGAGCUUGCUCUUACGGGUGGCGAGUGGCGGACGGGUGAGGAAUACAUCGGAAUCUACUUUUUCGUGGGGGAUAACGUAGGGAAACUUACGCUAAUACCGCAUACGACCUACGGGUGAAAGCAGGGGAUCUUCGGACCUUGCGCGAUUGAAUGAGCCGAUGUCGGAUUAGCUAGUUGGCGGGGUAAAGGCCCACCCAGGCGACGAUCCGUAGCUGGUCUGAGAGGAUGGUCAGCCACACUGGAACGGAGACACGGUCCAGAGUCCUACGGGAGGCAGCAGUGGGGAAUAUUGGACAGUGGGCGCAAGCCUGGUCCAGCCAUACCGCGUGGGUGAAGAAGGCCUUCGGGUUGUAAAGCCCUUUUGUUGGGAAAGAAAAGCAGCAGGUUAAUACCCCGCUGUUCUGACGGUACCCAAAGAAUAAGCACCGGCUAACUUCGUG
rnacentral:rRNA from 1 species